GUAUUCAAGAAAUUGCAUCCUCCUCACUGUGAAUCUAAAGAUAUCAGUCAAUGUAUAGGACCAACAGGAUGGCAAAUGGCUUUUUUGUUGAGUGGAUUCGGGCUACUGAUUAUAGGAGCAGCUGGGAUUAGGCCAUGUAACUUAGCCUUUGGUGCAGACCAAUUCAAUCCUAAUACAGAGUCUGGUAAAAGGGGUAUCAAUAGUUUUUUUAAUUGGUACUUUUUCACCUUAACAUUUGCACAAAUGGUGUCUGU
rnacentral:misc_RNA from 1 species